UUUGUGCCUCACUACAACCUGAAUGCAAACAGUAUAAUAUACGCAUUGAAGGGACGUGCAAGGCUACAAGUAGUGAACUGCAAUGGCAACACACCCGGUUUUGAUGGAGAGCUAGAAGCCGGACGUGCAUUGACAGUGCCACAAAACUGGCUGCAAAGUCACUAAGCGACAGGUUCUCAUAUGUAGCAUUCAAGACCAAUGAUAGAGCUGGUAUUGCAAGACUUGCAGGGACAUCAUCAGUUAUAAAUAAUCUGCCGUUGGAUGUUGUGGCAGCUACAUUCAACCUGCAGAGGAAUGAGGCAAGGCAGCUCAAGUCCAACAAUCCCUUCAAAUUUCUAGUUCCAGCUCGUCAGUCUGAGAACAGAGCUUCGGCUUAGAUUUCGCACCAAAUCAAUGAAAGUAAUAAUGAAAAGUCUGAAUAAGAAUACUUAGGCUUAGAUGCCUUUGUUACUUGUGUAAAAUAACUUGAGUCAUGUACCUUUGGCGGAAACAGAAUAAAUAAAAGGUGAAAUUCCAAUGCUCUAUGUAUAAGUUAGUAAUACUUAAUGUGUUCUACGGUUGUUUCAAUAUCAUCAAACUCUAAUUGAAACUUUAGAACCACAAAUCUCAAUCUUUUCUUAAUGAAAUGAAAAAUCUUAAU
rnacentral:lncRNA from 1 species